rnacentral:tRNA from 1 species
GAGAGGGCAUGACAACAGGUAGAACUGCUAAUUCACCACGCCCGAGGUUAAACUCCCCGGACCACUCA